rnacentral:tRNA from 1 species
GAGGGUAUAGCUCAGUGGUAGAGUACAUGCCUAGCAUGCACGAGAUCCUGGGUUCAAUACCCAGUACCUUCA